CUGUCUUCAAUUCAAGAAGAAGAUGCUUUAUUCACGGAAGGAAACGAGAAAAGUAGUCAGGAAAGAAGUGGCAAAGUGGAAGAGAUAAUUUUGGGAACAUAGUAGAACCAGGCAGAAAAGGCUGUGAUUUCUGCAGGAACUCUUUCAGAAUCAAGAAUCAGAAGUAAGAUCCCUCACUUCUUAAUGUCAGGAAACAAAUGUGGAACAAGCAGGUCUUACAACAUGGAGUUAGUAUGUGGGAAAGCAGCAGUUCUUAGUUCAGAAGCUUUGGUGCUAAAGUGCUGAUUUAGCACACUAAGGAGUGGCUCAGUAAAGAAAAGAAAAUCAGAAACCAUAGUAUCACCAUUCCUGGCAAAGAAUGCUUCCUUCCUUCAUUACAGCUGUGAAGACAGGGUUUGUACUUGGGUGGAAAAAUAAUGAAAUGGGUUCUUCAGUUGGUAUAGUCUCCAUUUUUUGAACUCCCAGAAAGCAUUAGACUUGUCACCAGCUGAAGGGGGAGGAUAUAUAAUAAAUUUUUCAUUAGGGUUUAUGUCCUUUGAAAUGGCAAACAGCGCCCUUUGCAGUAGCUGGAACUUACGUAGCAUAAUGUGAGUAAAAUCAGAAUUUUCCAUGUGCCCCUUGUGCUGGCCAAGCAUUUAACAGGCAGCAGGCAGGGGUAAUAGAGCACUGCUUUCCUUUGAGUGUGGUUCGAUGAUAUGGGAUUAAAGAUCUACCUUGAAGAGUAUGUGAGGCUUAGGAUAUAAGAAGAGGGUUGGGAGCUGAGAGCAAGGAAGUUGAAGCACAUGAUUCAUUGGUCAUUGCACUUUGGCAGAUCAGCCCGUAAAAGGUUAUUAAAGACAUUGUAGAUUUGAA